UAGGGAAUCUUCCGCAAUGGGCGAAAGCUUGACGGAGCAACGCCGCGUGAGUGAUGAAGGUCUUCGGAUCGUAAAACUCUGUUAUUAGGGAAGAACAAAUGUGUAAGUAACUAUGCACGUCUUGACGGUACCUAAUCAGAAAGCCACGGCUAACUACGUGCCAGCAGCCGCGGUAAUACGUAGGUGGCAAGCGUUAUCCGGAAUUAUUGGGCGUAAAGCGCGCGUAGGCGGUUUUUUAAGUCUGGUGUGAAAGCCCACGGCCCAACCGUAGAGGGUCAUUGGAAACUGGAAAACUUGAGUGCAGAAGAGGAAAGUGGAAUUCCAUGUGUAGCGGUGAAAUGCGCAGAGAUAUGGAGGAACACCAGUGGCGAAGGCGGCUUUCUGGUCUGUAACUGACGCUGAUGUGCGAAAGCGUGGGGAUCAAACAGG
rnacentral:rRNA from 1 species